rnacentral:rRNA from 1 species
CCUACGGGAGACUGCAGUGGGGAAUAUUGGGCAAUGGGCGCAAGCCUGACCCAGCAACGCCGCGUGAAGGAAGAAGGCUCUCGGGUUGUAAACUUCUUUUAUCAGGGACGAAGCAAGUGACGGUACCUGAUGAAUAAGCCACGGCUAACUACGUGCCAGCAGCCGCGGUAAUACGUAGGUGGCAAGCGUUAUCCGGAUUUACUGGGUGUAAAGGGCGUGUAGGCGGGAACGCAAGUCAGAUGUGAAAACCAUGGGCUCAACCUGUGGCCUGCAGUUGAAACUGGUUUUCUUGAGUACUGGAGAGGCAGACGGAAUUCCUAGUGUAGCGGUGAAAUGCGUAGAUAUUAGGAGGAACACCAGUGGCGAAGGCGGUCUGCUGGACAGCAACUGACGCUGAGGCGCGAAAGCGUGGGGAGCAAACAGGAUUAGAUACCCGGGUAGUC